rnacentral:rRNA from 1 species
UACGUAGGGGGCAAGCGUUGUCCGGAUUUAUUGGGCGUAAAGAGCGUGUAGGCGGUUAGGUAGGUCCGUUGUGAAAACUCGAGGCUCAACCUCGAGACGCCGAUGGAAACCCCCUAACUAGAGCCCGGAAGAGGAGAGUGGAAUUCCUGGUGUAGCGGUGAAAUGCGCAGAUAUCAGGAAGAACACCAGUGGCUAAGGCGGCUCUCUAGUAAGGUACUGACGCUGAGACGCGAAAGCGUGGGGAGCGAACAGG